CCCUUUGAUACUCUGGGCGGUACGCGCGCUACACUGGUUUAUAUAACGUGUAAUUUGGACGAUAGUCUGUAUAAAUCACUAAUAUAAAACCGUGAAUGGGAUAGUUUAUUGCAACUUACAAACUUUAACUAGGAAUCCCUUGUAGAAGUAGUGAAUUAUACUGCUUCGAAUACGUCCCUGCCCUUUGUACACACCGCCCGUCGCACCUACCGAUUGGAUGGUCCGGUGAAGCCUCGGGAUUGUGGUUCUUGCCGCUUUAUUGUGGCGUGACCGCGAGAACUUGUCUAAACCUUAUCAUCUAGAGGAAGGUGAAGUCGUAACA
rnacentral:rRNA from 1 species